rnacentral:misc_RNA from 1 species
GCCUUAUGUCAGGAAACAAAUGAAGUUUAGAUUUCCUGAACGUGGAAGAAGUGGGAGAUCUAUCGUAACACUAAAGAAUAUUGAACAUGGAUAUGGAGAUGUGGUUUUGUUCAAAAAGGCAAAUCUUUUGGUGGAGAGAGGCGAAAAGAUUGCAAUUAUUGGUCCAAAUGGGUGUGGAAAGAGUACCUUGCUUAAACUGAUUAUGGGUCUUGAGAAACCUCGGGGAGGUGAAGUUUUG